rnacentral:rRNA from 1 species
GACGAACGCUGGCGGCGUGCUUAACACAUGCAAGUCGAACGAAGAGCGAUGGAAGCUUGCUUCUAUCAAUCUUAGUGGCGAACGGGUGAGUAACGCGUAAUCAACCUGCCCUUCAGAGGGGGACAACAGUUGGAAACGACUGCUAAUACCGCAUACGAUCUAAUCUCGGCAUCGAGGAUAGAUGAAAGGUGGCCUCAACAUGUAAGCUAUCACUGAAGGAGGGGAUUGCGUCUGAUUAGCUAGUUGGAGGGGUAACGGCCCACCAAGGCGAUGAUCAGUAGCCGGUCUGAGAGGAUGAACGGCCACAUUGGGACUGAGACACGGCCCAGACUCCUACGGGAGGCAGCAGUGGGGAAUCUUCCGCAAUGGACGAAAGUCUGACGGAGCAACGCCGCGUGAGUGAUGACGGCCUUCGGGUUGUAAAGCUCUGUUAAUCGGGACGAAAGGCCUUCUUGCGAAU